rnacentral:rRNA from 1 species
GACGAACCGUGCGAACGUUGUUCGGAAUCAUUGGGCUUAAAGGGCGCGUAGGCGGGCUGGCCAGUCCGGGGUGAAAGCCCACGGCUCAACCGUGGAAGUGCCUUGGAUACUGCCAGUCUCGAGGGAGGUAGGGGCGUGCGGAACUUCCGGUGGAGCGGUGAAAUGCGUAGAUAUCGGGAGGAACACCUGAGGCGAAGGCGGGUUACUGGGCUGAUACUGACGCUGAUGCGCGAAAGCCAGGGGAGCAAACGGG